CGGAGGAAAAGAAACCCACCGGGAUUGCCUUAGUAACGGCGAGUGAAGCGGCAAAAGCUCAAAUUUGAAAUCUGGCGUCUUCGACGUCCGAGUUGUAAUUUGAAGAAGGCGACUUUGUAGCUGGUCCUUGUCUAUGUUCCUUGGAACAGGACGUCAUAGAGGGUGAGAAUCCCGUGUGGCGAGGAUCCCAGUUAUUUGUAAAGUGCUUUCGACGAGUCGAGUUGUUUGGGAAUGCAGCUCUAAGUGGGUGGUAAAUUCCAUCUAAAGCUAAAUAUUGGCGAGAGACCGAUAGCGAACAAGUACAGUGAUGGAAAGAUGAAAAGAACUUUGAAAAGAGAGUGAAAAAGUACGUGAAAUUGUUGAAAGGGAAGGGCAUUUGAUCAGACAUGGCGUUUGCUUCGGCUUUCGCUGGGCCAGCAUCAGUUUUAGCGGUUGGAUAAAUCCUCGGGAAUGUGGCUCUGCUUCGGUAGAGUGUUAUAGCCCGUGGGAAUACAGCCAGCUGGGACUGAGGAUUGCGACUUUUGUCAAGGAUGCUGGCGUAAUGGUUAAAUGCCGCCCGUCUUG
rnacentral:rRNA from 1 species